rnacentral:rRNA from 1 species
UACAGAGGGGGCAAGCGUUGUUCGGAAUUACUGGGCGUAAAGGGCGCGUAGGCGGCCUUCUAAGUCGGACGUGAAAUCCCUCAGCUUAACUGGGGAACUGCGUCCGAUACUGGAUGGCUUGGAUUUGGGAGAGGGAUGCGGAAUUCCAGGUGUAGCGGUGAAAUGCGUAGAUAUCUGGAGGAACACCGGUGGCGAAGGCGGCAUCCUGGACCAAUAUUGACGCUGAGGAGCGAAAGCCAGGGGAGCAAACGGG